rnacentral:rRNA from 1 species
UACAGGGGGUGCAACCGUUGCUCGGAAUUAUUGGGCGUAAAGCGCGUGUAGGCGGUCCGGUAAGUCCGCUGUGAAAGUCGGGGGCUCAACCCUCGGAUGCCGGUGGAUACUGUCGGGCUUGAGUACGGAAGAGGCGAGUGGAAUUCCUGGUGUAGCGGUGAAAUGCGCAGAUAUCAGGAGGAACACCAAUGGCGAAGGCAGCUCGCUGGGACGUGACUGACGCUGAGACGCGAAAGCGUGGGGAGCAAACAGG